CUAACCAUAGGCGAUAAGUUCAUUUGUUUACAAAAAAUGCAGGUUGAUACAUUUGAAGUGGCCAAAGUGAUUGCUGGAUAGUUCAAAUUACAAGCGCUGAGAGAUUUCUUUUUGCAAAUGAAUUAGGCUUCAAUUCUGAUGUUGCAUGAGAACACACGCCACCAACCAAACAUUGCCUAAAGGAUUCAUGAGCUGGACAAGCUGUGAGGUCAACUAACACCGCUUCUAAAUUCAAUAUUUUUACUGAACAAAGAUUUAGCGAGAUGGCGAACAUAAGUUUGUAAAAAAUAUACUGACUUUUUCUUUGCACUUAUUUUAUUGUCUCCACAAAAGACAAUGGGAGGACCAAGUGAGCAGGUGUCGUUGAUAGUGGGCGGGGAAGAUAUCGUUGACUUUACAAAUUUAGGUUCGGCAGUCUUUAGCGAAGAAAAUUUGCGCCUAUUUGGCGCGCCACCUAACACUUCUACAAACGAUUCGUUGCUGUCCAGCGGUGGAUUAUAGCCGUCUUUAUGUUGCAUUUUUUCCUUUUUUUUGCGUAUAAGUUUAGAAGCUCCCAUAUGCGAGGCAGAGGAUGACAUUCCAAUUAAGAAGCGAAAGUACUCAUCGUAUCAUGAAAAAAAACCUGUUUGCUUUUUUUCAUAUAUAUUAUCACAUUGUCAAAUGAAUUUAUCUACAAAGUAUAUAUGGGGUUUUAAAAUGAAAUUCAAAACUUCGUUUAGUAUUAAAUUGUACUGUAUUGUAUUGCAAUGUAGAUGUCAGUCCUUGUUAAACGAUCGUACUCGUCCAUUCCACUGGUCGUUUAGCUUCUUAUGAAAUCCCCUACUUUCUUAGGCUUAGAGCGCCUUACGGUCCACCUCUUAAAUCUCAUCGGUGAAUUCAUCCGAGUGUUCCACCCUUGCCUACAAAAAACGUUACCAUUUCCAUGCUGGAAUGGUAAUGGCAUAUCCUCCCUGUGGCACCGUUCAGGCUAACUCUGUCUACAUCUCCAAAGAAUAUUAAUAAAAUUAACAAACCCGCCCUUUCUUCUAGCUGUUCAGAUCCACAAGCAAUUGUAGUCUCUACCUCUAUUUUCUCGCCAACUCAGAAUUCCCUACAUGUGAAUCCUUCCGUUCCUAGAACGGAUGACGUCUGUUUGACGGCAGUACUCACCAAAAAAAAAAAACAAUUGUGUCAAUACUGGCGCCUAGCGCCUCUGUAGAUAACAUGAAAAGUUAUUUGGCUGCAAAAGUCCCAUCCGUCAAUUUGAAGCGUAUAAGCAUUUUCAAGUUGAGUCCACCUUAACCUAGAGUCUUCGACUUUUAAAGUAUGUUCUGACUGAAAAUGUGGAAAUUUUGUUAAACAAACCAUUGCGGUCAGUUGGAUCCUUAAUUAAGACAUUCAUUCCUCCGCGUCGUCCCCGUAAUACUAAUUCGGUAGCUCUUCCAACCUCAAAAAAAUAAAUGUUUCCCUAGUAACUUCCAUAUACCAAAAUGUUAAUGGCCUAAAAUCAAAAAUUCGCUCUACUUUCCUAAAUUCAGUAAGCACGGAGUAUUCCUGUCUGCCCUACAUUGAAACUGGGCUCUGGAUUUACAUUCGUCGGAACUUUUUCACAAUUCUUUCCAGGUUUUCAGAAAGAACCGAUUGGAUCGUACUGGUGGUGGUGUUUUAUUUUCCGUAUCUUCUGCCAUCCUAUCCAAUUGAAUUUAUUGCCAUUCGGGCGAAAAUUGCCAAUAAAUAGUUAUAUGUAACUUACUAUUUAUAAGAAAUAUGCUGUCCCAUUAAUGAUUUUGCCGUAUAGUCUAAAACUACCGAUAUAAUCAUAACGUUGGGAGACUUCAAUUUUCCACAAGUUGUUUGGCGUUAUAUUGAUAAUUCUGGCUAUAUGGUCCCCAUUCCAACAUCUGAUAGAGAUUGUGUUUUUCCAUUUGAUCGUAAUUUACUUCAAUACAAACGUACUCAUAAUUGUAAUGGUAGACAUCUAGAUUUUUGCUUUCCUGGAGGUAGCUGUAAAUCGCUGACCAUUUUUUAAUAUACCUGAGGAUCCGUAUUAUCCAGCAAUUUGUAUUUUCUUUUAUUACAGGCACGAUGGUCCGUUGAACUAUCCUGAUGCGCCAAAUCUAACUCCCUACAAUACACAUUGUGAUUUUCAUAAAACCAAUCAUUUUCUCCUUAAAUCUCAUCUUUGAUAUAUUAUGUUCAAUUUCUCUGCUGGGAAUAUUGAUACUUUACUUUCAUUGGUCCAUAAUGUAUUAAACCCGCUAUUUCUGCAUCCGUUCCUAUCAAGCUACCCCUCC